rnacentral:lncRNA from 1 species
AGUUUCGCAUUCCCCUCGGGGGCUCGGCCCGCCGCUCUGACUAGCCGGCGGCGCCGCAGAGACACCUCCAGCAGACGCCACCGCAGAGACACCUCCAGCAGGCGCCGCCUGGACACGGUGAACUCAUCCUCCUCACGGUUCGCCGCUGCACUCUCCGACCAGGCCCUCACGCCCAGGGCGUCAGGGUAUGUACGCCAACCCACUCGCACACCCCUCUAUCGGACCACCUUUGUUUCUGCUCGCGCGUUCGGCGAUUUUAUUUGAUUUGGCGCGGGAAACUGCGAUGUGGUGCUCGUAUUCUGCUGGGGUGCUAGCUCUCAUAUGUGUAACAGUGCAAAAUUUGAUGUAACUUGGAGAAUCGCUUGGGGGUCAAUAGGCCAAUCUGAGAAAGGCGUCUCCACUGAGCUGGAACUGACAACCUUUUGGAUUUGGUGUCAUUGAUGCAUCUCGUUACUCCAUCCUUAUUAGGUAAUUGCAUUGGAAGAACCUACAUUUAUUGUCAAAUUGAGAACUGGAAGCACCAAAUCCAAAAGGUUGUCAACAACAACAACAACAAAGCCUUUAGUCCCAAACAAGUUGGGGUAGGCUAGAGGUGAAACCCAUAAGAUCUCGCGACCAACUCAUGGCUAUGGCACAUGGAUAGCAAGCUUCCACGCACCCCUGUCCAUAAGGUUGUCAGUUGACAUCAAAUUUACAGAAGGUUUAAGAUGUCGUGUUGUGCAUGAUAGAGGUAACGGAUUUAUUCGUUGUUCGAUGGGCCUAUCCAUGCCCCUGUUUGCACCAUAUGGACCUAUCAAUCGCUUCAUCAUCCAUUUUCUGUUUCUGAUUUAAUUGACAUCAAAUUGUUUUGCUUAUCAACAGGGAUUUAUUGAUUGUGCCUUUGAAAUGUGUGUGGGGAGAGUCUCGUAUAGUCUAUGUGUUUUAAUCGGAUUUUAUGGCCUCUUAUCAUCUUCUUUAACAGAAAGCAAACCGAGUUUUAAAAUCAACUUGGCCAUAUCAUGUUUAUAAUGUGGUUAGUCCUUCAUCCCCUAGAGAUAAAUUGUUGGUCUAAUUAUCCAGCAUUCUUGUUCCACUUCAGGUGCAAGGAGGAGCAUGUGGCUGACCCUGCAUCUGCACAGACGCUGCAAGAACAGGAUGUCUUGCGCUUAAAGGAGUUGCUCGAACUACAAUAUCGAUUGAAUUGUACGAGCCAUUGUCCAUCACUGCCACUUCCUCGUCCUCUCCGCUGGACACCAUUGAGAUCUCACCAUGAUCAUGGCGCUGCCUUUCCUCGUCAUUCAUAUGGGCUCUUGCUGCUCUGCAAGAGCUUGAUUGGGUCAUUGGGAUUCACAUUUCACACCAUUGAAACAUCUUGAGGAUCAUAGAGGAUCUUUGCGCUCAUAUCCUCAUUUGGGUGGACCAUUUCAAAACUUAGAUGAAGCUUACAAUGGUAAUGAUUGCUAUCGUCAUGACCAAUUGUGAUCCAACAAUGUUAGUUUUUCAAGUUCUCUAGAUUUCCAUUCAUCCAUUUAUCCUGUUUUCUGUGCACACUUGCAAUUGAUUAUAUUUAAAAGGAGUUAAGCAGGCACAUGCUUCUAUGAUGUAGGCCACACAAGAUAAUCAAAUGAACCAGUUAAAAGGCGAAUGGCUCUAAAUCUAUAUUUAGAUGUCUAUUGCAGUUUGAAGCUGAGAUUUCUGUACCUGGUAUUGGCAUGUUCUUCUGCGGUACGGUUUCAUACUGUCUCUAUGUUUUUUUCUAUUUCUAAGUUUUUCAUGUUUUCUAACGAAAAGGGCCUUACUCUGGUUACCAGUUUACUGGUAAGCUGAAGUUCCAACCCCAACAAGGCUAGAGAAGCGAGGAUUGCAGAGUUGUGUCCUGCUUCCUCGGGUUGAGAAGCUGGAGAUGGUGGCUCAGGACGCAGCCAACUCGUCUUGUACUCUGCUGUCACUUUCCCUGAUCAAGUGCUCGUCCCUAGGGCAUAGGGUAUGCAUACUUUGUCGACAUGCUCAUCCUCUAAUUUGAUCGGUACUCUCUUUGGGCCUCCUGUUUGAGCUCUCUCGCUUGCUUGUAGACCGUGUAGAAUUGGGGCAGAUUUUGAGGUAUGCUGCUCAUAUUGUGCUAGAGUGCUACUUAUCGUCUGAUUGUACCUUCUAGGACGAUGGAAAUCUUGGUGUAAUUUGGCACAUGCCGGGUUGUAGGUAGGCUACUCUGGCAUGUAAUGGUAGAGGGCUGAAACUUUCAAAACUGAACUCCCUACUUGAAGGACAGGAGUGAGUAGUUUCAGUUUUUUAAAAGUUCCCUUUGAUGAAAGUUCAUCACCAUCCAGCUGAAAGCACAAUUUGAAAGUUUAAACAUACAAUUGAAUGCCGGGUAAGGUCUGGAGGGGUGGUGUUCACUGCGUGAGAAAUCAUCACAUACUGUGAAAUAGAUGUUCAUAUACCUGUGUUAUACAUAUGAAUGAUGAGUUAAUAACCGUGUACUGCUCAACAUUAG